rnacentral:rRNA from 1 species
GACGAACGCUGGCGGCGUGCUUAACACAUGCAAGUCGAACGAUGAAGCUGGAGCUUGCUCCGGUGGAUUAGUGGCGAACGGGUGAGUAACACGUGAGCAAUCUGCCCUUCACUCUGGGAUAACUGCGGGAAACUGUAGCUAAUACCGGAUACGAGGCUUGGAGGCAUCUCCAGGUCUGGAAAGAAUUUCGGUGAAGGAUGAGCUCGCGGCCUAUCAGCUUGUUGGUGAGGUAAUGGCUCACCAAGGCGGCGACGGGUAGCCGGCCUGAGAGGGUGACCGGCCACACGGGGACUGAGACACGGCCCAGACUCCUACGGGAGGCAGCAGUGGGGAAUAUUGCACAAUGGGCGAAAGCCUGAUGCAGCAACGCCGCGUGAGGGAUGAAGGCCUUCGGGUUGUAAACCUCUUUUAGCAGGGAAGAAGCGAAAGUGACGGUACCUGCAGAAAAAGCACCGGCUAACUACGUGCCAGCAGCCGCCGUAA